UCCGGUGCUAUUACUUUGAAGAAAUCAGAGUGCUCAAAGCAAGCCUUUGCUCUGUAUACAUUAGCAUGGGAUAACAUCAUAGGAUUUUGAUCCUAUUGUGUUGGCCUUCGGGAUCGGAGUAAUGAUUAACAAGGACAGUUGGUGUAAUAACCCUGACCUUAGAGGACAAGUCAACGACGUGGAAUCAUCCAGCAACCAAAGUGGAAAGGUGUAUGAAGAUGUUUAUGGA
rnacentral:rRNA from 1 species